rnacentral:tRNA from 1 species
GGUGGCUCAGUGGGAGAGCGCUUGCCUUGCGUGCAUGAGGUCCUGGGUUCAAUUCCUCAGCACCA